UACGUAGGUGGCGAGCGUUGUCCGGAUUUAUUGGGCGUAAAGCGCGCGCAGGUGGUGCGGUAAGUCUGUCGUGAAAUCUCCCGGCUCAACUGGGAGGGUGCGGUGGAGACUGCCGGACUGGAGGCACUCAGAGGCCGGUGGAAUUCCCGGUGUAGUGGUGAAAUGCGUAGAGAUCGGGAGGAACACCAGUGGCGAAGGCGGCUUACUGGUCCGGAACUGACGCUGAGGUGCGAAAGCGUGGGGAGCAAACAGG
rnacentral:rRNA from 1 species